UCAGAUUGAUCCUGGCUCAGGAUGAACGCUAGCUACAGGCUUAACACAUGCAAGUCGAGGGGAAACGACAUCGAAAGCUUGCUUUUGAUGGGCGUCGACCGGCGCACGGGUGAGUAACGCGUAUCCAACCUGCCCACCACUUGGGGAUAACCUUGCGAAAGUAAGACUAAUACCCAAUGACGUCUCUAGAAGACAUCUGAAGGAGAUUAAAGAUUUAUCGGUGAUGGAUGGGGAUGCGUCUGAUUAGCUUGGUUGGCGGGGUAACGGCCACCAAGGCGACGAUCGAGUAGGGGUUCUGAGAGGAACGGUCCCCCACAUUGGAACUGAGACACGGUCCAAACUCCGUACGGGAGGCA
rnacentral:rRNA from 1 species